GGCGACGUGGCGGAGUGGUUACGCAGCGGAUUGCAAAUCCGUGUACACCGGUUCGAUUCCGGUCGUCGCCUCCA
rnacentral:tRNA from 7 species